GUAUUCUAUGCAAGCCCAAAUAAUCUCCUACUCUUAUUUACCAAUGAAAAAGUAAAUAUUUGAUUCUCUCACGUUUGCCUUCAAAAUUCGGAUGAAUGGAUGAAACUGUCAUCAAUCAUAUUUACUAGAAAAGAAUGAUUGCAGCAGUGAAGGUUCCGCCGACAUCAUUCAAUUUUUUCAUAGGGUUCAGAUUCAAAAAAUUGGACAAAUCAACAGAGGUUAGGAUAAGAGAGUUUGAUAUGUAAGCGGUGUGGAUACGAUGACGGAGAGGGAAACUGUGGAGCUUUCGAUCAAGACGUUCUCGCCCAUAGAGAAUUCUCAGCCAUACUGUGGAUUGAGUUUCUGCAACAAAGCAUACUGCUUAAGUUAAUAAGGAGGUUUAAGCAGAGGCACUGGGCAGUAGGUUGAAUGUUUCUGAUUGUGAGGAGGCUUUUGGUAUCUUUGUAUGUUACUUGCAGAAAUCAAGGUGUGGAGAAGAAUGGUUAAAUUCAUCUGGCCAAAUUGGAUUUGAGAUAUGUCACAGCUCAUGGUUUCAAAUAUGGAGCCAAUAAAAAGUGACAAGGGUAGAACCUUGAAAGGUUGCAUAAGUCAAUGACAACAUGUUUCAACCCCAUCUGUUAAAGAGGUCUAUGUUCAGCCCCAAUUUGAAGAUAACCUUGCAUUAAUGAGUGUACCUUAGGUCCAUUGUGAUUUUUCUCUACUUGAGUUGGUUUUCCGGCUGUCUCUGCAGCUGCCGUUUUGUUUUGCAUGGUUAUCAAUUCAGAUUGCUUCAUCAAUCAUUAAUGAGGCUGUUUUCUGAUCCAGCUGCAUAUUUCUUUGGAAUUAGUUUUUUAGUCGACAGUCUGGUGUUGUUUUUAAGUGUUAGCAUGUUUUGGUUUUGGAGUUAAAUUAUGUUGGAUUUGAUUUUGUAGUUUUUUGGUGUUAUCAUGUUGGCCUAUUGUUGUUUUUAUUGUCAUUUGUUCUGUCAUUGAGCAAUAUUAGCAUUGCUUAUCUCUGUUUUUUUUAUCACACAAUUUUGUAUCAUUUGAUGAUCUAAGUCAUGAUUAAAUGUUGUUCAAAUGAAACAUAAGGAUAUGACAUUAAUAAGUUAGAUGUUGCAUGUGCUUCAGCAAUGGUUAGAGAAACAUAAAUAGGACUUUAGAUAGGGUCUUAAGUUUAGUGUUUGCUGUAGUGUUCUUGAAACUUUGCACAAUUUAAAGGAAUGGUCCAAUUUUGGUUAUA